AAAGUAGCUGACAAUGUAGCUCAAGUUGAACAGUUGUGCAAACUUGCAAUUUUGUCCCUAGUGAUAGCCAUACUAUAUUGAGCAGAUUCUUGUUGGUGUUGGGUGGUGGAACCGGAGCUUGCUCCAUCCACUCCAUGCAUUGACCUGGUAUUACAGUGCUUCCAGGACCAGUGCAAAAAAA
rnacentral:snRNA from 1 species